AUUGAACGCUGGCGGCAUGCCUUACACAUGCAAGUCGAACGGUAACAGGUCUUCGGAUGCUGACGAGUGGCGAACGGGUGAGUAAUACAUCGGAACGUGCCCGAUCGUGGGGGAUAACGAAGCGAAAGCUUUGCUAAUACCGCAUAAGAUCUACGGAUGAAAGCAGGGGACCGCAAGGCCUUGCGCGAACGGAGCGGCCGAUGGCGGGUCAGGUAGUUGGUGGGAUAAAAGCUUACCAAGCCGACGAUCUGUAGUUGGUCUGAGAGGACGACCAGCCACACUGGGACAGAGACUGGGCCGAGACUCCUGCGGGGAGCAGCAGUGGGGAAUUUUAGACAAUGGGCGAAAGCCUGAUCCGGCCAUGCGGCGUGCAGGAUGAAGGCCUUCGGGUUGUAAACUGCUUUUGUACGGAACGAAAAGACUCUUUCUAAUAAAGAGGGUCCAUGACGGUACCGUAAGAAUAAGCACCGGCUAACUACGUGCCAGCAGCCGCCGUAACAC
rnacentral:rRNA from 1 species